UUGAACAAAACUACUUAUUUCAAUCCACUCAAAAUUUAUUUAAUACUGAAAUUGUCCGUGCAUGACCUAAAUAAGUGUUACUAUUUUUAAACUAUAAACAUCGUACAUUUAUGCUUUGGCUUGUGUUGUCAAAUCGGCAUUAAUGGCCAUUUAAUAUCCGGUUCAACAUGGACACGAUUGAUUUCAUUCAAGAUAGAGCACUUUGUCGACGGGAAAUCCAAUCAAGAAAACCCUGACCCUCAAGCAGCUACUGUAUUUGACCAGCUCACACCAGAACUGAAGCUAACAUCAUUGAGGUACAUCCUUCCAAGAAUCCAUCAAAACAACAUGCUGAACAACUUCAAGAACUCUCUUCAAAAGACCACACUUUCCUGAAAUAAAUAAAAGAUGCCAAUAUUAAAAUAAAUCAGUUACAUGUAUUGUUAAAUAUUUUAAUACUAGCUGUAAAUGCUACUGCCUUUGAUGUUUGCUUUCUACAUGUAUAUCAUAAUGAAAUAUUGACAAGAUAAUAGCUAAUGUUU